UCUCAGGGCCGGAUCUUUUUCUCCUGUGGGGAGUUGUUAGUGAGAAGAGAAAAGUGACUCAGGUUCCUCCUCUCUGCCCUCGAAUGAUUGCUGCCUGCCCUUCUCACCAGCCGGCCGGCAGAGUGGAUGGAUGUCUAGUCAGGGCCUGGAGAUGCCUUCCUUCCCAGGUGGCCCAGCAGGAUCCCCUUGUGACUGGAAUCAGAGUUUGCACAGACUCCUAAGAGGACUGCCUGACCUGACCACGGAUGGCACCACCAACAGUGAGCUGGGCCCUCCCCACAAGAGUCAUCAAUCAAGAAAAUGCCCUACAGCCUUGCCUACCGGCCAAUCAUGGGGAAGCAUUUUCGCAAUCAGAGUUCUUCUUCCCAGAUACGUCUAGGUUUGUGUCAAGUUGACAAAGACCAACCGGUACAU